rnacentral:rRNA from 1 species
AGAAGUAAAAGUCGUAACAAGGUUCCGUAGGUGAACCUGCGGAAGGAUCAUUACAGAAUUAAACUUGGUGGACUGUUGCUGGCUCCUCCGGGGGCACUGUGCACGUCUGUCAUUUUUACUUUUCCACCUGUGCACCUUUUGUAGAUUCCGUUAACAGGUUUCUGAAUUUCCGUGGGGGCGGUCUUGCUUCUGCGGUUUUUUCAGAGCUUGGGAGUCUACGUUUUUUUAUACAAACCCAAAUGUAUGUUUUAGAACGUGUAUACAAGGCCUUAAAACAGCCUAUAAUAAUCUAUACAACUUUCAGCAACGGAUCUCUUGGCUCUCGCAUCGAUGAAGAACGCAGCGAAAUGCGAUAAGUAAUGUGAAUUGCAGAAUUCAGUGAAUCAUCGAAUCUUUGAACGCACCUUGCGCUCCUUGGUAUUCCGAGGAGCAUGCCUGUUUGAGUGUCAUUAAAUCAUCAACUACCCUUUCAUUUAUUUGUAAAGAGUAGCUUGGACUUGGGAGUCUUCUGUGGGCCUUAGGUCUGCUCUCCUUAAAUGCCUUAGCUGGAAUGUACCCCUGCAGUCCAACUGUUAGUGUGAUAAUUAUCUACGCUACACAGGGACAGCCUUUUGAGUGGGACUCUGGCUCUCUAACCGUUGUCAUCUGACAACAACUCCUGAUCAUUUUGACCUCAAAUCAGGUAGGACUACCCGCUGAACUUAA